AUGACCUGAGCUGAAGGCAGAUGCUUAACCAACUGAGCCACCCAGGCACUCUUUCAUUGCCUUUUUUAAAAUUGAUAGGAUUUCCUUCAGUAUUCUGGAUAUGAGUCUUUUGUCAGAUUUAUGUAUUGCAAAUAUUUUCCCCUAGGCAGGGGACUAUUCAUUCUCUUAAUGGUAUCUGUUAGUAAACAAAAACUCUUAAUUUUAAUAAUGUCCAUUUUAUUAUUUUCUUUCUUUUAUGGCUAAUGAUUUUGGUAUCCCAAUUUAAGAAACCUUUGUCUAAAGUAACUUUGACAAAGCAAACUUUAUCCAAAGUAAAGAAGAAAUUUUCGUAUUUUCUUUUAGAUGCUUUAUUGCAUAAGAUUGCCUAUAACCUCCCUUUCUCAUCUUUGUUGAGCCUUUCAUACUUAGAUCUAUGAUGCAUCUGGAAAUAAUUUUUGUAUAUAGUGUAUGAGUCAACCUUUAGAAUCUCUUUUAGUGAAGGUCUGCUGACAGCAAACUCCAUUUGGUUUGUAAGUAUCUUUGUCUUAUUUAAAAAAUAUUUUUUGAAGGGUAUAGAAUUCUGGGUUGGGAAUUUUAUUUAGCACUUUGAGGUUAUUCUACUGUUUUUUUGGCUUCAGUUAUUUCCCUUGUGAAGUAAACUGUCAGCUUAACAGUUGAUACUCCUUUAAAAGUGAUCACCCUUGUUCCCAUGGUUGCCUUCAGGAUCUCCUCUUUAUUUCUCUUCUGUGUCACUAUGAUAUGUCUGUGUGCUGGGGUUUUUUUUUUUCUUUUUUUCUAAUCCUGCUUGAGAUUCUUUGGGUUCCUUGGAUUAUUCUUUUAUCAAUUUUGAAAGAUUUUCAGCUAUUAUAUUUUGAUUGUCUCUAUCAUUCUUUCUUUCAAAAGCUCUGAGAACAUGUUAGACCUGUUGUUGUGUCCACCAUGCCCUUUGUUUCUUAACCCAUUUCAUAUUUUCCAGUCUUUUCCCACUGUGUUAUACUCUAGUAAUUUCUUCAGAAUUAUAACCAAACAAAUUUGGGGAAGAGCCUUUAUUUGGUUCUUCAAGAAAUGAAAAUGAAUUUUAAAAAAUCCAACAGGUGGAUUAAACAGACACAUCUAAUAAGGAGAGACUUUUUAAACUAGAAUCUCAGAAUGUUUGCUUUUGCUGGCUAACUUAGAGAUAGUACCCAUAGUUCAGAGCCACAUUUUCAGCUUAUCGUUUUUUUGACCAAUGUGAUGUUUGCUGCAAAACUUAAAUUCACUGACUUGUGGCUACAAAUUAUCAGUGGUAAAUUUUCCCAACCUCCAUUCAGUGCCAAGGUUCAAAACAGGCAGUUUUCUUUAAUCCCUUUAAUGGGUUUGGGGGAGAAGCAUUUUAUUGCAAGUUCGCUGUUAUGGUGAAGGGUCGUUCUUUAGGAUGUCAGCUUUAUGGGCUGGGGCCUCCUAUUUGACCCCUCUUCUUGAAUAUGCCCUGAACUUUCUUCUCUAUCCCCAUGUAGACUUGAAAACGGAAGCUCAUAAUCCUUGCCCUCAAGGCAAAAGCUGGCUUCAGAGUUUCCUUCAACCUGUCUGGGGUUUUGCUUGGAUAUUUACAUUUUGCGUAACUUUAGCAGCUGAUUUCCACAGGCAAGCACUUAGUCUAAUGCUGCCAGAAAUAGGUGCCUAACUUUCUCAUAUAUUUUUUUAAGAUUUUAUUUUUAAGUAAUUUCUACACCCACUGUGGGGCUCAAACUCAGAAUCCCAAGACCAAGAGUCACAUGCUCCACCAGCUGAGUCAGCCAGGUGCCCAAUUUUCUUAUAUUCCUGACAACACUGUUUCCUCAACAUUGUUGCUGAAGAUCCAUACCUAAGUUUAAGGAGAUUCUGCUUUCUGCAGGAGAAGUGGGGUUCAAUCUUAUCAGGGGUGCCGCUGCUAAUUCCCAGCUAACACUGACUGCUUCUUAUGAACCAGCGAGCCUGCAGUGGGGCCCUGAGAAGAGUUCUAGCAAGUUUCCAGCGCUGCUGACACUGCUGUCAAAUAGCCACAACUUGAGAAGCACUGCCUUGGAGGGACUCGCCCACAGGUGAAGGUCAGCACCAUAGCUAGCCUGGUGAGCUCAGCACCCACUCCCAGCCCAAGCUCCAUGGCAAAGGCACACACCAAAUGAUGGCCUGCGCCUUCUUCAGCUGAGGGCUGAGGGCGCCAUCAGCAGUGGAUCGCGGAGCCACCCCUUCCUGAGGCCUCACCACCACAUCUCCAGGCUCUCCUAGGAGCUUUGGGAAUUAGCAGCUAACUGCCCCAUCCUCACUCAAGCAUCUCAGAUUCAGGCUCCCCUGGGAGGAAGCCAGGCAUGCGGAGAGCAAUAAGGAUUCCAUUAGAGGAGCCCCUUGACCUAGAGGAAUGGAGAGGGCAGUCCACUAGAAUACCAAUUUGUGAGUUCUUUUUACUUUGUACUGGACUUUGAAGAACUGCUUUAAAUGUCCCCAUCCUUCAAGUCUACUUUGUAUUCUCUUCAUUACAGCUCAGUGUACCUGUCACAGCCUGGAAAACAGACAAUUCCAUCACACCCUCCCCCCC